GGAUUUCUGUCGUGGUCAUCCGGCUCCGCCUAUAUGGGUGUGCGCCUGGUUUGCCCUCGGCUUUCUUCAGGUAGCCUGCCGCGCUUCACUGCGUGUGUGGGGGUUCCGGAACUUUUACUUUGAGAAAAAUAGAGUGUUUCAAGCAGGCUUGUCGCCCUGAAUACUUCAGCAUGGAAUAAUAAGAUAGGACCUUGGCUCUAUUUUGUUGGUUUCUAGGACCAAGGUAAUGGUUAAUAGGGACAGUUGGGGGCAUUCGUAUUUAACUGUCAGAGGUGAAAUUCUAGAUUUGUUAAAGACGAACUACUGCGAAAGCAUUUGCCAAGGAUGUUUUCAUUAAUCAAGAACGACAGUAGGGGGUUUGAAGACGAUUAGAUACCGUCGUAAUCUCUACCAUAAACUAUGCCGACUAGAGAUAGGGAAUGCAUUAUCCCAAUCUUCCCUGCACCUCAUGAGAAAUCAAAGUCUCUGGGUUCUGGGGGGAGUAUGGUCGCAAGGCUGAAACUUAAAG
rnacentral:rRNA from 1 species